rnacentral:rRNA from 1 species
AACAAACGCUGGCGGCGUGCCUAAUACAUGCAAGUCGCACGAGGAAAGCUUUCGGGUGAGUACUAGUGGCGCACGGGUGAGGAAUAUAUGGGUAAUCUGCCCUCGCGUUGGGGAUAACCAGUCGAAAUACUGGCUAAUACCGAAUAAGACCACAGGAUCUGCGGAUCUAGGGGGCAAAGGUUUUUCGCUUGAGGAUGAGCCCAUACGGGAUUAGCUAGUUGGCGAGGUAAUGGGUCACCAAGGCUACGAUCCCUAACUGGUCUUAGAGGAUGAUCAGGCACACUGGAACUGAGACACGGUCCAGACUCCUACGGGAGGCAGCAGUAGGGAAUAUUACACAAUGGGGGAAACCCUGAUGCAGCGACGCCGCGUGAGUGAUGAAGGCCUUCGGGUCGUAAAGCUCUGUCGUAUGGGACUAACACAAUGAAGGUACCAUGCAAGAAAGGAUCGGCUAACUUCGUGCCAGCAGCAGCCGCCG